rnacentral:misc_RNA from 1 species
GAAACGCGAUAGUUAAUGUGAAUUGCAGAAUUCAGUGAAUCAUCGAGUCUUUGAACGCACAUUGCGCCCAUAGGUAUUCCUUUGGGCAUGUCUGUUUGAGCGUCAUUACAACCCUCAGCUAACCGCUGGUUUUGAACCUGAACGGGUGACGCCGCGCCGGUUUUAAAGUUGUAAGCUCUGCUGGCCGCUCUGCCCAACCAGAACAUAGUAAGCACUACUUGUCCGGGUGAAGCUGAACGGUACGGCCUGAACAAAACCUACCCACUCUCAAGGUUUGACCUCAGAUCAGACAAGGAUACCCGCUGAACUUAAGC